UGAAGCAGGACCUCUAAUGAUGCUGCAGCUU
rnacentral:piRNA from 1 species